AAAAAGGCAUUCUUAAAUGCCACCAAUAAACAUAGAGGAUGUUAU
rfam:Ciona savignyi cont_6771, whole genome shotgun sequence.